UGUUGCCAAACAUAGUCAAUUCAUGAA
rnacentral:piRNA from 1 species